rnacentral:rRNA from 1 species
ACUAAGUGAGCUACUUUAAAGUAGCUGCAAGAGCUAACCCUUCUCUGUCGCAAAAGAGUGGGAUGACUUUUAAGUAGAGGUGAUAAACCUACCGAACUUAGAGAUAGCUGGUUUUUUAAGAAAAGAAUUUAAGUUCAGCCCCAAGCCUCUCUGUUAAAUAAAAAAUCUUCUUAGACUUGGGAGUUAUUUAAAUAAGGCACAGCUUAUUUGAAACAGGACACAACCUAAAAUACUGGGUAAAACAACUAAAUCUCUUAACAAGUGGGCCUAAAAGCAGCCAUCUUUAAAAAAGCGUCAAAGCUUAGUAAUAACAAUUAGCCCAAUAACCUCAACGACUUUUAACCCUUAUGUACUAUUAAAUUAUCCCAUACAAUUAUGGGAGCUAUAAUGCUAGAACAAGUAACAAGAAAAAGAUUUUUCUCCAAAAUGUAAGCUUUAGCCCCAAUAGACAAACUACUGGCAAUUAACGCCCCUGAGCCCACUUUAGUAACUCCAACAAGAAAACCCUAUAAGCCCCCAGCGUCAACCUUACACCAGAACAU